AAACAAGGAUGAUGGUGGACAUCCUGAUAAAGUGUUACAUUGCAGUUGGAUCGUUGUGGAAAUGUUGCAUUUCUUAGGCCCUUGAAGUCACCACUAUCGAUUAACUUUCCCCAAUUAGGCUCCAAAUCUGCUGGCUUAAACCAUAAGAUGAAUUGGAGCCCAAACUUUGGCUUGGGUUUCCCUUCUUCAGAGAGCAAUGGAAAAAAGCCAUUUAUCAAGCUUGCUUGAGUGACAAUCUGAUGUGCCUCAAAUUGUAUCUUCCCCAGGACAGAGCACUUCGUUUUAACUGUGAUUGUGAUGAUUGAGUCAAUGGGAUGAGCACAGAGUAUCUGGAAGGUCUGGUUCCAAAUUCGGUCUCGUUCACUUGAUGUCUUUGCCAUUUUGUGCUGGCCUAUCUUGAUUGUCGCAUAUGCUGGCCUUCCGCUUCCUAAUAAACACUGCACAGUUUCCAUCCUUAAAUUCCCAGCAAUUGUCAAAGGUGUUCAAGGCUUCAAGUCAACUCAAACCAGCUAGAUAAGGCAGAAAGAGAGGAAAAUUGUAAAUGUGUGAUGACAUCACCAAAUUGGACGGUCCAGUUUUACUGGAAUGAGUAACAUUUUCAGAAAGGAAAACCCACAAGCUACAUUUUCAAUCCUAGGCUUUGGAUUAUCCUUUUUGUAGGCGAUCGGUGUUCAGUGAAAAACUGGGAAAAUGAAAGGUGAGAAGCUGCAAACUAUCUGGUCUAUCUCGCAUAUUUUCAUCCUUAACUGAAGAUUGAUUUGGUCUAAAACGCGCUAUGUCAACUUUUUUUUUUAUAUGGUAACUCUAGUUUUUCAGUUGCUGAAUAUCAUACCUAAAUAAUACGAUUAGAAAUUUUGGUAUUUUAAACAAAAAUUGCUUGUGUACCUAAGCCAAGUCCUGAAAGGCCAUCUUUGUUUGUGAUAAAUCUUCUAUCGUGCGUAUUGUUUUUC